rnacentral:rRNA from 1 species
UGGGGAAUCUUGCACAAUGGGCGAAAGCCUGAUGCAGCAACGCCGCGUGCGGGAAGAAGGCCUUAGGGUUGUAAACCGCUUUCAGCAGGGAAGAAAAUGACGGUACCUGUAGAAGAAGGUGCGGCCAACUACGUGCCAGCAGCCGCGGUGACACGUAGGCACCAAGCGUUGUCCGGAUUUAUUGGGCGUAAAGAGCUCGUAGGCGGUUCGGUAAGUCGGGUGUGAAAACUCUGGGCUCAACCCAGAGCCGCCACUCGAUACUGCUGUGACUCGAGUGCGGUAGGGGAGCGGGGAAUUCCUGGUGUAGCGGUGAAAUGCGCAGAUAUCAGGAGGAACACCAGUGGCGAAGGCGCCGCUCUGGGCCGUGACUGACGCUGAGGAGCGAAAGCGUGGGUAGCAAACAGGAUUAGAUACCCUGGUAGUCCACGCCGUAAACGUUGGGCACUAGGUGUGGGUCUCAACCAACGAGAAUCCGCGCCGUCGCUAACGCAUUAAGUCG